CUAGAGAAAUGUUGUAAUUCAUUAUCCAACAAUAUGUUCACUUUAACAUUUUUUAGACCGAUUGAUUUAGUUUCUCCUUUAAAUAUCAAGGGUAGUUUUUAUAACACGACAAUUAUCAAACAAAAUAACAUGGCAUAUCAACGUAAAGUAAUUUUCUGUAUUCAUGACGAGUUUGGGUAUAGGUUUGGGGUGGGCACCUAUAUACCCGUUACCCGU
rnacentral:lncRNA from 1 species